ACAAACUUGGUCAUUUAGAGGAAGUAAAAGUCGUAACAAGGUUUCCGUAGGUGAACCUGCGGAAGGAUCAUUAUCGUGGGGAUUCGUCCCUAUUGAGAUAGCACCCUCUGUUCAUGAGCACCACUUGUUUCCUCGGCAGGCUUGGCCAGCCUGCCGUUAGGACCCCCCAAAACCGCUUGCAGUAGCAGUACCGUCAGCAAUAAAAACUAUCAAAACUUUCAACAACGGAUCUCUUGGUUCUGGCAUCGAUGAAGAACGCAGC
rnacentral:misc_RNA from 1 species